rnacentral:lncRNA from 10 species
UCCAUACUUAGCGAUGGCCUCCUGGACCCACUUUCUCUCUCAAACUGUCUUUUCUCAUUCCUUUGACUCUGCUGGACUUCGUCAUCCCCACGACCCGGUGUUGAGUCUGAUCACCCAACAUCAUCAGGCACUGUGAUGAACUCAAACUCCUAAGAAUAAACAACUUCUCAUGAAGGGGGCUUAAAUACAUCUAUCACAUUUAAGAUGAGAACAAGCAGAUUACCCCAGAGACAAUGAGAACAUUGAGAUGAGAACAAGCAGAUUACCCCAGAGAGAAUGCAGCAGUCAAAGACAAAGUGUGGAAUAGGCAGAGGCAAUAUUGUGCAAAACACAUUAGAGGAAUGCAUAAGUACUACAAAAACUUCUAAGAAAAGAAAUAUCAAAGAUGCCAUCCUCAAAGACUGCAUGUGGGAGAAAUACCUAGGCAAGAACUAAGAAUCUCAUAAGAAAUGCCUGAAAUAAAAUGUGAACAUCUCUGCAUGGACUAAUCAAUACAGAAUAAUGUACCACUCGAGAGGAUGCAUAUGAGACUGAUACUGUUUUUGCUGUUCUGAUACUGGAUAAAAAUUCUCACCUAUUCUUUAGAAAAGGAACAGGCAUUGAAAUUCUGAUGCCUUCAAUGCAUAAUUAAGUUUGUUGCAAAUAACGUUAUAAAAUCCUGUUUAUGUUUCUCAUUAUAGAAUUUGGUUGAAUAUUUCUCAGCACAUCUCUUUAAUCAUUUUAUUGUUAUUGUUAUAAUAUGAAUAACUGAAUUGGUAGAUGAUAAUGUGUUUUAGAGAUUCAGAGUCACAUCCAAAAUUAUUUGAAUAAGCGAUUUACAAAAAAACUAAAUAUGGAUAAGUACCAUAAAAAUGUACAAUUCUCGUCAGAUUCAAAUAAUGUAAAUUAACAUGAGAUGUCGAUUUUCACCUUACAAAAUGGCAAAUAUGUUUUAAAAUAAGAGCAAAUUUGUUAAGAUUAUAUGAACUGCUGAUGAAUAUGUAAAUGUGCACAACCAUUCUGGAUAUUUUAAAUCAAAAUAAUAUAUUUAAGGAAUAUAAAGUAUUGUAUUAUUAUUUCUUAUUGCAAUAUACUAUGUAGCCUGAUUUAUGCUGGGAGAAAUAUUUAAAUGAUUGUAUAUUCACUCAUUUCUCCUUUCAACAAAUAUUUACUAAGCACCUAUUACAGACUUCACGCUAGAUGUGCAAUGAAUGAAAUAUGUCCUCAUGCAUAUAAUUUAUAUUUGAAAUUAAAUCUGAUGAAUAUUGAAAGAUGUUUUGUUGUAUGAAGCUGUAAGAACAUAUUAUAAACCUUAUAGUGUGAACUUAUAUAUAUAUAUAUAGCAUAUUUAUGUAUAUGAGUAAAAAACAGUCUGAAAAAAUAUGCUUAGAAUUUAAUGCUGAUAAUGUAUAUCUAGUGAAACUAAGGGCA